UGCAAGGCUUAAUCAAAGGAAAAGCUGACACUGUUUAACUGCAGGUGAGCUUUUAAGUUGGUACACUUUUAUUACAAUUCUUUUAUUAAACAACCUAUUACUAGUGGUGAGUAGAAUAUCCCAACCCUUAAUUAGAUGGAAGUAGAUUAACCAUUUUAUUAAUCAUCAUCAUUAUUAUUAUUACCGAGGUAGCAACCUCA
rnacentral:lncRNA from 1 species